rnacentral:lncRNA from 1 species
CACCGUGCAUCAGGAAGAAAUAACCAUUUCGAACUGAGAACUUAGUAGAGGAGCUCCACUUCCAAACUUUGAUGCCUUCUUCAUACGAGAGUAAUAUAGUACGAAUAACUGAGAAUAACCCUUGUGAUGCAACUGUGACAGCGGAUGUCAUAGGAUAUCUAAAGUUAUUAGCCCAGAUGCCAGUUGUUAAGAAUUCAGUAAUGCUUAGUCUUGGAUUCUUAGCCAUCAAGAAUAAGUUUGCAAAUUGAUCUCAAAGAGGACUUCCCUUAAGCCAUGCGUCCUACCAAUAGGAUGUCAGCUGACCAUUUCCAACUUAGGGGUGAUCAGAGAGCUACUGGACCAAGUUUAUGGACC